rfam:Schistosoma mattheei strain Denwood, Zambia genome assembly, scaffold: SMTD_scaffold0015898
GCACUGCUGAGUGGUCCCACAAUAGGACGAAACGGUCGUCCAGUGC